rnacentral:rRNA from 1 species
CGCGCUGUAAACGAUGGGUACUAGGUGUGGGAGGUAUCGACCCCUUCUGUGCCGGAGUUAACGCAAUAAGUAUCCCGCCUGGGGACUACGGCCGCAAGGCUAAAACUCAAAGGAAUUGACGGGGGCCCGCACAAGCGGUGGAGCAUGUGGUUUAAUUCGACGCAACGCGAAGAACCUUACCAGGAUUUGACAUCCUCUGCUAUCGCAAGAGAUUGCGAAUUUAAUCUUCGGAUUAACAGAGAGACAGGUGG